rnacentral:misc_RNA from 1 species
GAUGAAGAACGUAGCGAAAUGCGAUAAGUAAUGUGAAUUGCAGAAUUCAGUGAAUCAUCGAAUCUUUGAACGCACCUUGCACCCUUUGGACUGCUCCAAAGGGUAUGCUCGUUUGAGUGUCAUUGUACUCUCACUCUCUCUGAUCCUUUGGAUUUGGGGAGCGGUGGACUUGGGUGCUUGCUGCUUCCUUGUGGCUCACCUGAAAUGCAUCAGUGCAUCUCUCGAUUGGACAUAGUACGGCGUGAUAAGUGUCUUCGCCGGCACCUCAUAUGAGGGUGGCCGAUCGGGAGCUCUGUGCUUUCAAACCGUCUUCGGACAACGCUGACAACUUGACCUCAAAUCGAGUAGGACUACCCGCUGAACUUAAGCAUAUCAAUAAGCGGAGGA